CCAAAAACGGUGAUUACACCCCCUAACAC
rnacentral:tRNA from 1 species